rnacentral:rRNA from 1 species
GAUGAACGCUGGCGGCGUGCUUAACACAUGCAAGUCGAACGGAAAGGCCCAAGCUUGCUUGGGUACUCGAGUGGCGAACGGGUGAGUAACACGUGGGUGAUCUGCCCUGCACUUCGGGAUAAGCCUGGGAAACUGGUUCUAAUACCGGAUAGUACCACUUCGUAGUUGUUGUGGUGGAAAGUUUUUUCGGUGUGGGAUGAGCUCGCGGCCUAUCAGCUUGUUGGUUGGGUGAUGGCCUACCAAGGCGUCGGCGGGUAGCCGGCCUGAGAGGGUGUACGGCCACAGUGGGACUGAGAUACGGCGCAGACUACUGCGGGAGGCAGCAGUGGGGAAUAUUGCACAAUGCGCGGAAGCCUGAGGCAGCGACGCCGCGUGGGGGAUGACGGCCUUCGGGUUGUAAACUCCUUUCGAAAAAGACGAAUUUAUGACGGUAUUUGGAGAAGAAGCACCGGCUAACUACGUG